GAUGAACGCUGGCGGCGUGCCUAAUACAUGCAAGUCGAGCGAACCUCUUCGGAGGUUAGCGGCGGACGGGUGAGUAACACGUGGGCAACCUACCUUGUAGAUGGGGAUAACAUCGAGAAAUCGGUGCUAAUACCGAAUAACACUUUUCUCCACAUGGAGAAGAGUUAAAAGUUGGCUUUUGCUAACACUACAAGAUGGGCCCGCGGCGCAUUAGCUAGUUGGUGAGGUAACGGCUCACCAAGGCGACGAUGCGUAGCCGACCUGAGAGGGUGAUCGGCCACACUGGGUCUGAGACACGGCCCAGACUCCUACGGGAGGCAGCAGUAGGGAAUCUUCCGCAAUGGACGAAAGUCUGACGGAGCAACGCCGCGUGAGUGAUGAAGGCCUUCGGGUCGUAAAACUCUGUUGUUAGGGAAGAACAAGUACCGUUCGAAUAGGGCGGUACCGUGACGGUACCUAACCAGAAAGCCACGGCUAACUACGUGCCAGCCGCCGCUGUAA
rnacentral:rRNA from 1 species